CAUGAAACCGAAAACAACAUGAAAAUUAGAGCAAUGAUUAUCAUGGUCAUGACUUUGCUGGCCUUGACAACUGGCAUAGUGGAACCGGAUUGUCCAAAACGGUCGCAGUGUUGGAAAGAAUAUAAACGUGAACGCAUAAUGUUUCGUUAACGUUAAAACGCAGAAAUUUUACAAAAAAUCUAGUAUUAAGAAUUAUCAAUCAGCAGACAAUGAACUGCGGCGGCAUUUCGCUGUAAGAAUAAUCACAAGCACUGAUAAGGAUAUAUAUAUUUACGGAUGUUCGACUGCAUCAGUAGAGUGAGAUCUCGCUGGAAUAAUAAAUAUGCUCAUAACAGUUCAUUGUAACAGCA